AUGGCUAACUCGGGCGCCUUGAUCCUUCUCAUCUCAUUGGUCCUGCUAGCCGGGGCUGCCUACAUCCGCCGUGAGCCAGGCCACGCGGACGGAAGCUUCGCCGACACACACCUCCACUUCUUCAUGCACGACGCUUACGACGGCCCGCGCCCCACGGCCGCGCUCAUCGUCACCGGAAGGGAGCCGCUCCCACUACCGUCUGACGACGGCGCCACCGGCGGGCAGGCAACCUCCUCCUCCCCGCGGAGGUUCGGCGACAUCGCCGUGAUGAACAACGCGCUCACGGAGGGGCCCGAGCGCGGCAGCGUACGAGUCGGCACGGCGCAGGGGUUCACCGUGCGCGUCGCCGAGCACGGCGCCGUGAACGACCUGAGCCUGCACCUCGUGCUCGAGGCCGGCGAGUACGGGGGAAGCUCGCUGGCGGUGAAGGGCAGGGUGGACACGGGCGCCGCGGUGCGCGAGUCCAUAAUCGUCGGCGGCACCGGCCGCUUCCGCUUCGCGACGGGCUACGCGCUGAGCAGGAGCUACGACUACGACGUCGCCAACGGAGGAGUCGUGGAGAUCGAUGUGUACGUGCAGCUUCGACUAGUUUAA
rnacentral:rRNA from 1 species